CCUGCCUGGCCUUGCUUGUGGCUCGUACACACAUACAGUCUGGACUUUAUGAAAGCUGCUGGAGAGUGUUCAUGGCAUCUGGGCAGAUUCCUGGGCAUUUUCUGCAGAGGAGACACAGGCUGGGAAGAGGAGUAGGCUGGCCAGCAAAAGAGCCAGGAGGUUUUACCCAUAACUCCCAGGGAGUCCUUGACAUCAGGCAGUGUCUACAUAAAACAGAGUGGAGAGACAGCUGGGAUGGAGAGGCUCAAACCCUCCAAGCAGAUCUUCAACCUAGGAGAAGAUCAAUGCAGGACUCUGCCUCAUGCCUGUCUGGGCACACCCACAACCUACCAUGAGCACAGUGUGAAGUAAGCAGUUUGGAUACACCAGAAGGAAACACAGGCCUAGGCUGGGCUCCAAUCAGGAACAAUGUUGCUGAACAGUUCUUCCUGUCUGCUCAGCCACUUCCUGUCCUGAAGCAAAGGAAAGCUUGCAUUCGCAGGAAGCCUGGGCUAGCAAAGGCAGCUUCCUGUUUCCAAGGCCAAACUGGACCACCCAAAGCUGAAGCCCAUGUCAAUUACUCAGCAAAGUUCGGGCAACAUUAGAUCGCCAAUAAAAGCUCACUUGUUUGUUUUAAAUCCUUGUAA
rnacentral:lncRNA from 1 species